rnacentral:rRNA from 1 species
CCAAUAGCGUAUAUUAAAGUUGUUGCAGUUAAAAAGCUCGUAGUUGAAUUUCGGGAUUGACGUAAUGGUCGUGCCUUAAGGGGUAUGAACUGUUGCUGUUGAUUUCUCACCUUCUGGAGAAACUCGAUGUCCUUAAUUGGGUGUCUUGCGGAUCCAGGACCUUUACCUUGAAAAAAUUAGAGUGUUUAAAGCAGGCAUUUUUGCUCGAAUACAUUAGCAUGGAAUAAUAGAAUAGGACGGCAUGGUUCUAUUUUGUUGGUUUCUAGGAUCACCGUAAUGAUUAAUAGGGAUAGUUGGGGGCAUUAGUAUUCAAUUGUCAGAGGUGAAAUUCUUGGAUUUAUUGAAGACUAACUACUGCGAAAGCAUUUGCCAAGGAUGUUUUCAUUAAUCAAGAACGAAAGUUAGGGGAUCGAAGACGAUCAGAUACCGUCGUAGUCUUAACCAUAAACUAUGCCGACUAGGAAUCAGACGAUGUUAAUUUUUUAAUGACUCGUUUGGCACCUUACG